GGAAGGAAUAUUCCACCAUUGUGAGGUUUCUGGUAACAGAACUGUUUAUCAACAUAUGAAAUCCUUAAUGAGGUGUCAUUAAACAUUUGCGAAGAGUAACCAUGCUAUGCACAAAAAAUCCAGCAGAACUGUCAGAUUUUCAAAGAGGUUGUAUUGUUGGGCAAUCUGAGGUUGGUUUUAGCCAGCGAAAAAUUGCCGAAAAUCUUCAAAUUCCUCUUGCCAUUGUUAAUAGAAUUAUAGUGCAAUUCAAAGGCCAAGGAAAAGAAUCACCAGAUUCUCGUCCCGGCUGACCUGGGUCCUCGGAAAGGAAGUUUCGCUGUUUGAAGAGAAUUUAUGGAAACCAAAUCCCAUUCAAAGGUUUCUGACAUUGCAAAACAGCUAGAAGUUAGUCUGAGAAUAUGUGUUACAUAUCUGCAUAAGGUUGGGUAUUAUGGACAAGCAGCUAGAAGAAAACCUCUCCUUCAACCAAUUAACAUCAAAUAAAAGAUUUUGAAAAUUAAA